rnacentral:rRNA from 1 species
CCUACGGGAGACAGCAGUGAGGAAUAUUGGUCAAUGGACGAGAGUCUGAACCAGCCAAGUAGCGUGAAGGAUGACUGCCCUAUGGGUUGUAAACUUCUUUUAUAAAGGAAUAAAACGAGGCACGUGUGCCUUUUUGCAUGUACUUUAUGAAUAAGGAUCGGCUAACCCCGUGCCAGCAGCCGCGGUAAUACGGAGGAUCCGAGCGUUAUCCGGAAUUAUUGGGUUUAAAGGGAGCGUAGAUGGGUUGUUAAGUCAGUUGUGAAAGUUUGCGGCUCAACCGUAAAAUUGCAAUUGAUACUGGCAGUCUUGAGUACAGUUGAGGUAGGCGGAAUUCGUGGUGUAGCGGUGAAAUGCUUAGAUAUCACGAAGAACCCCGAUUGCGAAGGCAGCUUACUAACCUGUGACUGACAUUGAUGCUCGAAAGUGUGGGUAUCGAACAGGAUUAGAUACCCUUGUAGUC